UGGAUAUUUGGAUUAGGGAUUGAAAGAGACAGAGAGAGGAAUUAAUCUUUAAUUAAGGUGAAUGCAAAGCUGCAAAGCUGGCGCAUAUCCUACUCAAUAAAGUCAUUAAAUUCCCUUAAAAUUCCUUCUUUGUAAACCCAAACCAGGGAAAACAACAGUGAUUUUGCAUGAAUGCAUUCAAAAGUGACACAUGCAUAAUGCAGAGAGUCCAACCAAUGAAUUAAUGCUAGGAAUCCACACAUUUUUUUCUUUUGCAAUCAUUGAUGGAAAAGUUAAGCCUCUAUUCCACAACUAAUAAUUCCUAUUUCUUUCUUCUAUUCUCCUUCAUCAACAACACUUUCAACCAACAUGGCUAUCAAUUCUUUCACCAAAUACUGCAAUUAAAAUAAACACAUUACACUGUUGUCACGCAGUUGUUAUACAUGUGUAACUCUGUUUUCCCUUUUGCCAAUAGAUUGAAUAGCACAGUAUCAUUUGAGAUACUUGAUUUCCAUUUCAUCUGAGAUGUUGUUAACUUGAAGGC
rnacentral:lncRNA from 1 species